rnacentral:rRNA from 1 species
AUUGAACGCUGGCGGCAGGCUUAACACAUGCAAGUCGAACGAGUGGCGGACGGGUGAGUAAUGCUUGGGCAUCUAGCUUAUGGAGGGGGAUAACUACGGGAAACUGUAGCUAAUACCGCGUACCAUAGGAUGAGCCCAAGUGGGAAUAGGUAGUUGGUUAGGUAAAGGCUCACCAAGCCGACGAUCUCUAGCUGGUCUGAGAGGAUGACCAGCCACAAGUGGACUGAGACACGGACCAGACUCCUACGGGAGGCAGCCGUGGGGAAUAUUGCGCAAUGGGGGAAACCUGACGCAGCCAUGCCGCGUGAAUGAAGAAGGCCUUCGGGUUGUAAAGUUCUUUCGGUAGCGAGGCGUUAACUACAGAAGAAGCACCGGCUAACUCCGUGCCAGCAGCCGCGGUAAUUC